rnacentral:rRNA from 1 species
CCUACGGGGGGCAGCAGUGGGGGAUAUUGGACAAUGGGGGAAACCCUGAUCCAGCGACGCCGCGUGAGUGAAGAAGUAUUUCGGUAUGUAAAGCUCUAUCAGCAGGGAAGAAAGAAAUGACGGUACCUGAGUAAGAAGCCCCGGCUAACUACGUGCCAGCAGCCGCGGUAAUACGGAGGGGGCAAGCGUUAUCCGGAAUUACUGGGGGUAAAGGGAGCGUAGACGGUAAUGCAAGUCUGGAGUGAAAGGCGGGGGCCCAACCCCCGGACUGCUCUGGAAACUGUCGUGCUGGAGUGUCGGAGGGGCCAGUGGAAUUCCUAGUGUAGCGGUGAAAUGCGUAGAUAUUAGGAGGAACACCAGUGGCGAAGGCGGCUUGCUGGACGACAACUGACGCUGAGGCUCGAAAGCGUGGGGAGCAAACAGGAUUAGAUACCCGUGUAGUC